rnacentral:lncRNA from 1 species
UACUGUGGUUUCUGCUGCUGCAGAUAGUUACAUUUACUCUUCUCCUCCACCACCUUAUGUGUAUAAGUCACCACCACCACCGUCUCCUUCACUACCUCCUCCUUACGUGUACAAGUCACCACCUCCUCCGUCUCCAUCUCCUCCACCACCAUAUGAGCACAAGGCUCCAUCUUAUAAGUAUAAGUCCCCUCCACCUCCUUCACCAUCUCCCCCACCUCCCUAUGUGUACAAAUCACCACCUCCUCCAUCACCAUCACCUCCACCACCUUACAUUUACAAAUCUCCACCACCACCCUCACCUUCCCCUCCCCCACCAUACUAUUAUAAAUCUCCUCCACCACCAUCUCCCUCACCCCCACCACCAUAUUAUUACAAGUCUCCUCCACCACCUUCUCCUUCUCCUCCCCCUCCAUACUACUAUAAAUCUCCUCCACCACCCUCUCCGUCACCUCCACCUCCUUACUACUAUAAGUCUCCUCCACCUCCCUCACAUUCCCCUCCUCCACCAUACUAUUACAAGUCUCCUCCACCACCCUCUCCCUCACCCCCACCUCCAUAUUACUACAAAUCUCCUCCACCACCCUCUCCCUCACCCCCACCUCCAUAUUAUUACAAGUCUCCCCCACCACCCUCACCAUCCCCUCCCCCACCAUACUAUUAUAAGUCUCCUCCACCCCCACAUAUACACAAGGACCCACCAUACUAUUACAAGUCCCCACCACCACCUUCACCAUCUCCUCCACCACCUUACUACUAUAAAUCUCCCCCACCACCCUCACCAUCUCCUCCACCACCAUACUACUACAAAUCUCCCCCACCACCUUCACCAUCUCCUCCACCACCAUACUACUACAAAUCUCCUCCUCCUCCAUCCCCUAUCCCCCGUACACCUUACUACUACAAGUCCCCGCCACCACCUUCACCAUCUCCUCCACCACCAUACUAUUACAAAUCUCCUCCCCCGCCAUCUCCUAUUCCCCAGACACCUUACUACUACAAGUCCCCACCACCACCUAAGUAUCUUCCACCACCAUACUAUUAUAACUCUCCUCCUCCACAUGUUGUGUAUCCUCAACCACACCCUUACCACCACUCAUUGAUUGUGAAGGUAGUGGGUAAAGUCUACAGCUUUAGGUGCUAUGAUUGGGAGUAUC